ACCUCAUUCUUCACAUGUAAGUAAUUAUGUUACUUUCUGUCAUAGAUUAAUGUACUUGUGUGAUUGUGCACCUUGAAAUUCAAUAAAUAAUAGUAGUCUAUUUUGAAGAAAUCUUAGAUAAUGAUAUUUUAUCUCUCUGGCGGUUUUCUUAUUAUGAAGUCUUGAUUUCAUUCAUCUGUAGUGGUUCACUCCUUAAGUGUUCUCUUACAUCUAAAGAAAGUUAAAUGUGAAAUUAAGUCAUUAUUGAAGCACUACAAUAUCUAUCAGAUUGUAAAAGCAGGGCAUAAGUAUUAUAUAUUGAAAAAUAAAUUUUACUCUUUGGUCCUCAACUUCUUGGUAAGAUCCAAUUCUUUGAAGAUGUUGUUUUGGUUUUAAUACGAAAGUGCAUUACCUUUCAAAUUAAAGAUAACUCAUCCCUUUAUUAAAUUGAAUGCAAUGAUGGGAAAUAUUUUUGGCAAUGGAAAGUAGAGUACUUGUUCUAACUUGUGAUAUAACCAGGUUGGAGAGUGAUUAUGCUUGUGAUUGUUGAAUGUGACUGAAUUCUGACUUGAGGUCAACAUAUAAUAAUAAUCUACAAGUCUUGUAACAGAAAAUAUGUUUACCACUAUGCUUACUGAAAUUAAUUCAUGAAAUGGCCGAUUAAGAUUCCAAUUUUUUUCUUGGAACAGAGCAAUCAUAUAGUCGCACUGAAGGUUCUUUUUCUAUUUGGAUUUGUAGCAAAAGAUAUUGUGAUUGCCUAUUUGUCUUUUUCUGCUUAUGAGCAAUACGGUGUACAUUAGUACCACGUAGCAACUCUAUUGUCUUUGUGUAUUGAUUUUGGCAUUAAGUGCCUCUGGUGACCUAUUUGUUUCAUUUUUCUUACUUGCUAUUAUGUUUAAAUAUGUGCAGGAAGACUGCUUAUACGACUUGCCUUACAAUACUGGGUAUCGAAUUUCCGUGCUACGUUUACGGAAGACAAGGGAUGAAAUUAUGAAGUGUACUCUCACUAUAUAUGUAUAUAUAUACUUUGAUUGAAGAACUGUGGUAGUUUUAGAUGGUUAAUUGUAAAGAUAAUGAAUGAUUAUGUAGUGGAUGAUUUUGUUAAGUUAAUAAUAUUUUAGUUUUUUGUAUUUUUGCCAUUAUUUGCUAUGGGGACAUUAUAAUUCGUUACUAAAGUAUUGAACAAGUUUUAAUAUAGUAAUAAUUUUUUAUACAUUUAGCAACAAAUUUUCGUUGCUAAUUACAUUAAAAAUAUAAUAUUUGGCAACGAAAAAUUAACCUAAUAAC
rnacentral:lncRNA from 1 species